rnacentral:rRNA from 1 species
CAGCCACGCCACGUGUGGGACGACGGCCUUCGGGUUGUAAACCACUUUCAGCAGGGACGAAAAUGACGGUACCUGCAGAAGAAGCCCCGGCCAACUACGUGCCAGCAGCCGCGGUAACACGUAGGGGGCGAGCGUUGUCCGGAAUUACUGGGCGUAAAGGGCUCGUAGGCGGUUUGGUAAGUCAGAUGUGAAAACUCCGGGCUCAACUCGGAGACGCCAUCUGAAACUGCCAUGACUAGAGUUUGGUAGAGGAGUGCAGAAUUCUCGGUGUAGCGGUGAAAUGCGCAGAUAUCGGGAGGAAUACCAGUCAGCGAAGGCGGCACUCUGGGCCAUAACUGACGCUGAGGAGCGAAAGCGUGGGGAGCGAACAGGAUUAGAUACCCUGGUAGUCCACGCCGUAAACGGUGGGCAUUAGGUGUGGGACCCUGUCAACGGGUUCCGUACACGUAGCUAACGCGUUAAAUGCCCCGCCUGGGGAGUACG